AGUGAACGCUGGCGGUAGGCCUAACACAUGCAAGUCGAACGGCAGCACAGUAAGAGCUUGCUCUUACGGGUGGCGAGUGGCGGACGGGUGAGGAAUACAUCGGAAUCUACUUUUUCGUGGGGGAUAACGUAGGGAAACUUACGCUAAUGCCGCAUACGACCUACGGGUGAAAGCAGGGGAUCUUCGGACCUUGCGCGAUUGAAUGAGCCGAUGUCGGAUUAGCUAGUUGGCGGGGUAAAGGCCCACCAAGGCGACGAUCCGUAGCUGGUCUGAGAGGAUGAUCAGCCACACUGGAACUGAGACACGGUCCAGACUCCUACGGGAGGCAGCAGUGGGGAAUAUUGGACAAUGGGCGCAAGCCUGAUCCAGCCAGACCGCGUGGGUGAAGAAGGCCUUCGGGUUGUAAAGCCCUUUUGUUGGGAAAGAAAAGCAGCAGGUUAAUACCCCGCUGUUCUGACGGUACCCAAAGAAUAAGCACCGGCUAACUUCGU
rnacentral:rRNA from 1 species